rnacentral:rRNA from 1 species
AUUGAACGCUGGCGGCAGGCUUAACACAUGCAAGUCGAGCGGGGUGAUGGUGCUUGCACUAUCACUUAGCGGCGGACGGGUGAGUAAUGCUUAGGAAUCUGCCUAUUAGUGGGGGACAACAUCUCGAAAGGGAUGCUAAUACCGCAUACGUCCUACGGGAGAAAGCAGGGGAUCACUUGUGACCUUGCGCUAAUAGAUGAGCCUAAGUCGGAUUAGCUAGUUGGUGGGGUAAAGGCCUACCAAGGCGACGAUCUGUAGCGGGUGUGAGAGGAUGAUCCGCCACACUGGGACUGGGACACGGCCCAAACUCCUACGGGGGGCAGCAGUGGGGAAUAUUGGACAAUGGGGGGAACCCUGAACCAGCCAUGCCGCGUGUGUGAAGAAGGCCUUAUGGUUGUAAAGCACUUUAAGCGAGGAGGAGGCUCUUUUGGUUAAUACCCAAGAUGAGUGGACGUUACUCGCAGAAUAAGCACCGGCUAACUCUGUGCCAGCCGCCGCCGUAA